rnacentral:misc_RNA from 1 species
GAUGAAGAACGUAGCGAAAUGCGAUAAGUAAUGUGAAUUGCAGAAUUCAGUGAAUCAUAGAAUCUUUGAACGCACAUUGCGCCCGCGAGUAUUCUCGCGGGCAUGCCUGUCCGAGCGUCAUUUCAACCCUCAGGGCCCGCCUGCUUCGGCAGGCGCGGCGCUGGUGUUGGGGAUCGGCCUAACCGCCGUCCCCCAAAUACAGUGGCGGUCUCGCUGCAGCCUCCCCUGCGUAGUAGCAACACUCGCAUGCGGAGCGCGGCGCGGCCACGCCGUAAAACCCCCGACUUUCUGAACGUUGACCUCGGAUCAGGUAGGAAUACCCGCUGAACUUAAGCAUAUCAAUAAGCGGAGGA